rnacentral:rRNA from 1 species
CUAUGUUGGCCGGGCGACGGUUGUCCCGGUUUAAGCGUGUAGGCUGGUUUUCCAGGCAAAUCCGGAAAAUCAAGGCUGAGGCGUGAUGACGAGGCACUACGGUGCUGAAGCAACAAAUGCCCUGCUUCCAGGAAAAGCCUCUAAGCAUCAGGUAACAUCAAAUCGUACCCCAAACCGACACAGGUGGUCAGGUAGAGAAUACCAAGGCGCUUGAGAGAACUCGGGUGAAGGAACUAGGCAAAAUGGUGCCGUAACUUCGGGAGAAGGCACGCUGAUAUGUAGGUGAAGUCCCUCGCGGAUGGAGCUGAAAUCAGUCGAAGAUACCAGCUGGCUGCAACUGUUUAUUAAAAACACAGCACUGUGCAAACACGAAAGUGGACGUAUACGGUGUGACGCCUGCCCGGUGCCGGAAGGUUAAUUGAUGGGGUCAGCGCAAGCGAAGCUCUUGAUCGGAAGCCCCGGUAAACGGCGGCCGUAACUAUAACGGUCCUAAGGUAGCGAAAUUCCUUGUCGGGUAAGUUCCGACCUGCACGAAUGGCGUAAUGAUGGCCAGGCUGUCUCCACCCGAGACUCAGUGAAAUUGAACUCGCUGUGAAGAUGCAGUGUACCCGCGGCAAGACGGAAAGACCCCGUGAACCUUUACUAUAGCUUGACACUGAACAUUGAGCCUUGAUGUGUAGGAUAGGUGGGAGGCUUAGAAGUGUGGACGCCAGUCUGCAUGGAGCCGACCUUGAAAUACCACCCUUUAAUGUUUGAUGUUCUAACGUUGACCCGUGAUCCGGGUUGCGGACAGUGUCUGGUGGGUAGUUUGACUGGGGCGGUCUCCUCCUAAAGAGUAACGGAGGAGCACGAAGGUUGGCUAAUCCUGGUCGGACAUCAGGAGGUUAGUGCAAUGGCAUAAGCCAGCUUGACUGCGAGCGUGACGGCGCGAGCAGGUGCGAAAGCAGGUCAUAGUGAUCCGGUGGUUCUGAAUGGAAGGGCCAUCGCUCAACGGAUAAAAGGUACUCCGGGGAUAACAGGCUGAUACCGCCCAAGAGUUCAUAUCGACGGCGGUGUUUGGCACCUCGAUGUCGGCUCAUCACAUCCUGGGGCUGAAGUAGGUCCCAAGGGUAUGGCUGUUCGCCAUUUAAAGUGGUACGCGAGCUGGGUUUAGAACGUCGUGAGACAGUUCGGUCCCUAUCUGCCGUGGGCGCUGGAGAACUGAGGGGGGCUGCUCCUAGUACGAGAGGACCGGAGUGGACGCAUCACUGGUGUUCGGGUUGUCAUGCCAAUGGCACUGCCCGGUAGCUAAAUGCGGAAGAGAUAAGUGCUGAAAGCAUCUAAGCACGAAACUUGCCCCGAGAUGAGUUCUCCCUGACUCCUUGAGGGUCCUGAAGGAACGUUGAAGACGACGACGUUGAUAGGCCGGGUGUGUAAGCGCAGCGAUGCGUUGAGCUAACCGGUACUAAUGAACCGUGAGGCUUAACCUU